GACGAACGCUGGCGGCGUGCUUAACACAUGCAAGUCGAACGGAGUGGCGAACGGGUGAGUAACACGUGUGUGAUCUGCCUUGCACUUCGGGAUAAGCUUGGGAAACUGGGUCUAAUACCGGAUAGUGCAAGAUGAGCUCGCGGCCUAUCAGCUUGUUGGUGGGGUAAUGGCCUACCAAGGCGUCGCAGGGUAGCCGGCCUGAGAGGGUGUACGGCCACAAUGGGACUAAGAUACGGCCCAGACGGCUACGGGGGGCAGCAGUGGGGAAUAUUGCACAAUGGGCGGACGCCUGAUGCAGAGACGCCGGGUGGGUGAUGAAGGCCUUCGGUUUGUAAACUCCUUUCGACAGGGACGCGGUACCUGUAUAAGAAGCACCGGCUAACUACGUGCCAGCAGCCGCGGUAAUUC
rnacentral:rRNA from 1 species